CGGGGAGGAAAACGAGGUGAUUCCAGGUUUUAUCUGACUGUGUUUAAUUACCAGAAUCAAUUUAAUACUUAAGUCUCUUUAUGGCGUCUGUAAAGGAGAAUCUUAUUAAACUUUUAUCAAAGCACUUAUUCAGUUUGUCCUUAAACUUCCUAUUCAUGUGCUCAUCCAGGACACAGCAGUAGUUCCUGAUAUCCAUCAGGCCGUCAGCCAGCAGAUUCCAGACUUCCUCCCAGGCUCUUCUUCUGUGAAUGUGCUGAUUGUGACAGGGGAGCUGUUAACGGGGUGACUCCAGCCGUCUAUCAGGGUAAUUGUGGCAUUAGGCUGAAAAUUGGAGCUAAAAUAACCAGAUGCAGGGGC